rnacentral:rRNA from 1 species
AGUAGUUUGACUCCUGGCUACAGGACGAACGCUGGCGGCGUGCUUAACACAUGCAAGUCGAACGGAAAGGCCCUAGCUUGCUGGGGUACUCGAGUGGCGAACGGGUGAGUAACACGUGGGUGAUCUGCCUUGCACUCUGGGAUAAGCUUGGGAAACUGGGUCUAAUACCGGAUAGGAACCGUCUUUAGUGUGGUGGUUGGAAAGUUUUUCGGUGCAAGAUGAGCUUGCGGCCUAUCAGCUUGUUGGUGGGGUAAUGGCCUACCAAGGCGUCGACGGGUAGCCGGCCUGAGAGGGUGUACGGCCACAUUGGGACUGAGAUACGGCCCAGACUCCUACGGGAGGCAGCAGUGGGGAAUAUUGCACAAUGGGCGGAAGCCUGAUGCAGCGACGCCGCGUGGGGGAUGACGGCCUUCGGGUUGUAAACCCCUUUCGACAGGGACGAAGCUUUUUGUGACGGUACCUGUAUAAGAAGCACCGGCUAACUACGUG